AUGGAGUCGCCGCCGCCGCACAAGCGCAACGUCCGCCGAGAUGACGACAGGAUCAGCGCGCUACCCGACGACCUCCUCCUCGGAAUCCUCGAGCGCCUUGAACUGCGCGAGGCGGUCCGCGCCGGCGCAGUCUCGACGCGGUGGCGGCACCUGCCCCACCGGCUCUCGCGCCUGCACCUCAACGGCCGCCAUUUCCGCUGCACCACGCUGCUCGAGUUCAUGGACGCCUUCACAGGCGCGACACGGAGGUUGCUGACCGACCGCGACUGCCACUGCAACGGCAGUCAUGCUAUCAAGUCCAUCAGCCUCCGCUUCUUCCUGUCGGCGCCCCACCUGAGCCCCAUCGGCCGCGCCGUUGAGCACGUCGUCAGCCGCGGCGAGACCAAACGCCUCCAUUUUGGCACAUGCUCGCCAUACAAGAGAAACACUGCCCUGCAGCUCGCCGAGUUUGGGCAGCAGUUCAUGUCCUUCUCCCGCGACUACCCACUCGCUUUCCAGUGGCUCACCAGGCUUACACUCAAGAACCUUGCGUUUGGGCAUUCCGAUGUCACCGACCUCAUUAAUGCCUGUGACAGGCUCACGCACCUCACUCUGAGUUUUUGCCAACUGGUUGAUGAGCACACACCGCUCAAGAUCGACACACCGUGUUCUGGGAUCAAGGAUCUCGAAUUCAUCCAAUUUGGGUGCACGCAGAUCGAGCUCAUCUCUGUCCCAAAGCUCAGUAAAGUGCAGUGCACAUCUUGGCGCUUGGCGAACCCUCCUGUGCGCUUUGUUUAUGUUCCAGAGCUUCGCGAUGUGAGCCUCAGUACCAGUGCCAUGGCGUGGCAGGCGCCAUUCCUGCUGAGCGACUGCUUGUCAAGGAGUGCAAUGAACUUGUCAAAACUGCAUCUCAAUUUUCGCCAUCAAAUGAUAUGGAUUCAGCCGGAACAUCCGAAGCAGCUUACUGCUAUAUUCAGAAAUCUCUCCGAUUUGUCCCUUUCUGAAAUCUUCCCUGAGUGCGAUUUGAGCUGGACCCUAUUUAUCCUUGAAGCUGCACCUGCCCUGCAGAAGUUUACAUUAUCUCGAACUCGUCAUGCAUGUGACAUAGCGUUCGAGGACAAUGCCGAGAAGACCAACGUGGUGUGGGAGCCAUCAAAGGAUUUCAAGCACAUGAACUUGAAGUCACUGACGAUAGAUGGGUUCGAGGAGGAGGACAAGGUGACAAACUACAUAAGGCUAGUCAUGGGGCGAGCUGUUGGAUUGAAGAGAAUCGAGUUGCGUGGUGAAGGAUGCAAGAAAUGUGAUGCCAUUGAUCCGAGGACAUCCCAGGUGGAUGAAACUCGCAGGCAUCGGAUCAAGGAGCUACUCACAAAUGGAUCAUCCUCAUCCGUGGAGAGAAUAAUGCGCUGA
rnacentral:rRNA from 1 species